rnacentral:ncRNA from 2 species
AGAGGCAACUCUGGAGAAAGCCGCCGCGCUUACCGAAGGUGUAUGGCCCCUUGCGGGUCGGGACUCUCAGGUACCAGGACAGAGACGGGGAG